rnacentral:misc_RNA from 1 species
GAAAUGCGAUAAGUAAUGUGAAUUGCAGAAUUCAGUGAAUCAUCGAAUCUUUGAACGCACCUUGCGCUCCUUGGUAUUCCUUGGAGCAUGCCUGUUUGAGUAUCAUGAAAUCUUCAAAGUAAAUCUUUUGUUAACUCAAUUGGUUUCUACUUUGGUAUUGGAGGUCUUUGCAGCUUCACACCUGCUCCUCUUUGUUCAUUAGCUGGAUCUCAGUGUUAUGCUUGGUUCCACUCGGCGUGAUAAGUUAUCUAUCGCUGAGGAUACUGUAAAAGGUGGCCAAGGUAAAUUCAGAUGAACCGCUUCUAAUAGUCCAUUGACUUGGACAAUACUUUUAUGAUCUGAUCUCAAAUCAGGUAGGACUACCCGCUGAACUUAAGC